rnacentral:rRNA from 1 species
GAUGAACGCUAGCGGCAGGCCUAACACAUGCAAGUCGAGGGAGAGGUUAUCUUCGGGUAACCAAAACCGGCGCACGGGUGCGUAACGCGUAUACAAUCUGCCUUUCACAUAGGGAUAGCCCGAAGAAAUUUGGAUUAAUACCUAAUGGUAUAUAGGAGCGGCAUCGUUUUUUAUAUUAAAGCUACGGUGGUGAAAGAUGAGUAUGCGUUCUAUUAGCUAGUUGGAGAGGUAACGGCUCCCCCAAGGCGACGAUAGAUAGGGGUUCUGAGAGGGAUGUCCCCCACACUGGUACUGAGAUACGGACCAGACUCCUACGGGAGGCAGCAGUGAGAAAUAUUGGACAAUGGUCGGAAGACUGAUCCCAGCCAUGCCGCGUGCAGGAUGAAGGUCCUAUGGAUUGUAAACUGCUUUUUGUAAGGGAAGAAUAAAGGAGUACGUGUACUUUUGAUGACGGUACCUUUACGAAUAAGCAUCGGCUAACUCCGUGCCAGCAGCCGCGAUAAUACGGAGGGUGCGAGCGUUAUCCGGGAUUUAUUGGGUUUGAAAGGACCGUAGAUGGGCCGCUAAGUCAGCGGUG